rnacentral:lncRNA from 1 species
GCAGAAGGAUUGUUUAGAACAUUGGAAAUGUUGGAGGAUCAUUUGGGGGGGUCAAGGUAUUUAUGUGGGGAUGUUUUGACACUUGCAGAUGUAUGCUUGUUCACUACUUUGAUUCGGUUUGAUGUCGUCUACAAUGUGCUCUUCAAAUGCACCAAAAAGAAGCUCAUUGAAUUUCCUAACCUCCAUGGAUAUCUCAGAGACAUUUAUCAGGUACUAAAAUCUCUUUCUCGCAUAUGUUCAAUAGAACCUCUUCAAAUGCACCAAAAAGAAGAUCAUUGAAUUUCCUAACCUCCAUGGAUAUCUCAGAGACAUUUAUCAGGUAUUAAAAUCUCUUUCUCGCAUAUGUUCAAUAGAAAAAAAUGCCCUUUGAACAUAGUGUCUCGAUCGAGGACAACAGGGUGCACAAGGUAUCGCCGUUUACGCAGGGUCCGGGAAAAGGGUCACACCUUAAGGGGGUGUGAUGUAGAUAUCCUAACCUAAUGCAAGAAUUAGCAGUUGCUUCUACUCAGAUCCUUGACCUAUGGAUCACACAGAGACAACUUUACCGUUGAUCCAAGGCUCUCCUUCUAAUAUAACUAAUUUAAGCAUUUAUGUUAAUAACGCUUCAGGAUAUUGUUGUGGUAAAUCGUCAGUUAGUCUGGCAGCAAAGGGUGUCGCCUAGCAUUCGUUGGUAAAAAUCAUGGUAGAACACGGUUCAAAUUCUCGUCGAGACAAAACACAAAAGGUGAUUUAUCCCAUCUGCCUAAGCUUGGUGGAUAGUUGUUAGUCAAUACAUAUAAUGGUGGGAAGUAGUAGGUAAUCGGUGGAAUAUUCGAGAUGU